GCAAUAUGUUAACUUUAUAAAGACAACAGAGCGGAUAAAAAGUAAAUAUAUAAACACACAGAGGGAUUAAUAAAUAACGGACCAUCUAUAAUGUAGUUUGUUUCAAAUGAAGCUGGGAGCCUCUGCAGCUGUGGCUUGAAAAAUGAAGAAAUGGACCACCCAGAUUACAUACCCUCACUCUUCCCUGCCAGAAAGACACAGUCUGCAGCUGCAAAACUGCAAAGGCUGGAGCGCAGAAGGGAGCGUGAAUGUCACCAGGCUGUCCUCAGUGACGUUCCCACAGCCCCAGUACCAGAAACGACACCACCAGACGCCCCAGUACCAGCAACCACAGCACCAGAGGCUCCAUGCCUUCCUCAGAGUGUGGAGAAUGAGAUUUUCAACUUAAGGAGAGAGAGGGAUGAGACCAGGAAGGAGCGAGAUGAAGCUGUGCAACAACUGGAAAAAAUAAACUUUUCUGCAAACAGUGUGAGAGAAAAUAACAUCAAAUGCAAGCAGAUGACUGGGCUGACAUGGACACUGUUUGACACCUUGCACCAGUACCUGGUGCAGUUUGUAAAGCCACGAGAGACAUCCAAACAUUCGACACAAGAUGAGCUCUUCAUAACAUUGGUGAAACUGCGGCAGAACUCUUCAAUACUUGACUUGGCACACAGCACUUUUCUUGAUGUGUUCUCCUGGUGGCUCAAUCUGCUGUAUGCAAAAAUUUAAUUUCUGAUUGCUUGGCCUGACAGAGAACACAGUACCAGCCGAAGUUCUUUGGCAAUACCCCAGACUGACGUCUAUCAUCGACUGCUUUGAGAUCAGAAUCUAACAUUCAAAGAAGCUGAAAACUAGAGCAAUGACCUACUCUAAGUACAAAAACUGGACCACAGUCAAGUACUUCAUUGCAUGUCAUCCAUCUGGUGCCAUCACAUAUGUCUCCAAAGGCUGGGGUGGGAGAGCAUCAGAUGUUCACAUUGUGAGGAGCUCUGAUUUCCUGUCUCAGAGAUACCUACACGCUGGAGAUCAGAUACUUGCUGACCGAGGCUUCACCUUGAGAGAGGACUUUGCUGUUCUGGGUGUACAGCUGAUUACACCAUCAUUCACACGGGGAAGAAAACAGCUGUCAGCAGAGGAUGUGGCAAAUUUUCAUGUGACCUCAAACAUUAGAAUUCACAUAGAGAGAGUGAUUGGUGCUCUGAAGAGCCGGUUCCAUAUUUUGGAUGGUCCUAUUCCUCUGCGCCUGGAGAAGAGAUUGAGGGAUGAGAGACAGAAGAGAGAAGAGGC